UAGGGAAUCUUCGGCAAUGGACGAAAGUCUGACCGAGCAACGCCGCGUGAGUGAAGAAGGUUUUCGGAUCGUAAAACUCUGUUGGUAGAGAAGAACGUUGGUGAGAGUGGAGAGCUCAUCAAGUGACGGUAACUACCCAGAAAGGGACGGCUAACUACGUG
rnacentral:rRNA from 1 species